CACCAUCCUCUGACUGCUGCAGCUGUUCAGGUGAUAUCUGUGUUUGGCCAGCAUCAGCUUCCUAUUCUUUCUUAUUAUGCUGGUUGGGGACACUGGAGAUUUCAAUCCUAUUUCAUCUGCUGGGCAUCGAGUUAGGGAGACUGUUGUAGAUUUAUCACAUAUCUCAAGUGAGGAGCCUCAUACAGUCAAAAGUUACCAAAACUGCACAUGAGCAAGAGAUGGUGAAGAUUUACAGAUAUACCAGACCUUUUCCAUCAAUAUUUUACUUUCAGUACCUUAGAAAUGAGAAUCUCUGUUCUAUACUUAUGUAUGGAGAACUGUGAGCAAAGCCAUGUGGUUGUAUUCUACCUAAAACUUCCUUUUUACGACAGGGGUAGAGUCAGAGCAACUAGCUAGAUCUGAGCAUUUACUGGCCGGAUGCCCUUCCUGAUGCCUAUGCGGAGUUCACAGCAGAUAUUUUCUCUGUGCACCCUAAGAGAGAAACAGGAACUCAAACCAUGUGAUCCUGUCCACCAUUAAACCAUUUUUCCAAGCAA